rnacentral:rRNA from 1 species
AUUGAACGCUGGCGGCAAGCCUAACACAUGCAAGUCGAACGAGUGGCGGACGGGUGAGUAAUGUCUGGGAAACUGCCUGAUGGAGCGGGAUAACGACUGGAAACGGUAGCUAAUACCGCAUACCAUCGGAUGUGCCCAGAUGGGAUGAGCUAGUAGGUUGGGUAAAGGCUCACCUAGGCGACGAUCCCUAGCUGGUCUGCGAGGAUGACCAGCCACACUGGAACGGAGACACGGUCCAGACUCCUACGGUAGGCAGCAGUGGGGAAUAGUGCAAAAUGGGCGCAAGCCUGAUGCAGCCAUGCCGCGUGUGUGAAGAAGGCCUUCGGGUUGUAAAGUACUUUCAGCGGGGAGGCGUUACCCGCAGAAGAAGCACCGGCUAACUCCGUGCCAGCAGCCGCGGUAAUUC